AUGGCAAGCUUCUUCGUUUGGAGCUCUAGAUAUAUCUUCAUUUGCUCCUCCUUUCCUUUGCUCCUCCUCUUGUCCCUCACUUCCUUUUGGCCCAUCAUGUUCUCCAAAGUGCCUUGCAAGGCGAUGGAAGAAGCAUCACGCCUCUCAUCGACCUUUGAGUUUGUCUUACCCCUCGGCCUCUUGAGCAAGUCUUCCUCAUCAGCCACGGCCUUCUUCCCUCCUUUCUUAUUACGAGCGGCAUACUGGUCAUUGAACUUGGCACAAUCUUUGAUGAACUCCCAACAUUGCGUGAGAGUGAAUGGCUUGUUCUUGUGUCGGGUCUAG
rnacentral:rRNA from 1 species